rnacentral:lncRNA from 1 species
UAAUUUACUUGAUGAUAACGAUAAGAAACAUUAUUUUACUUUCAAAAACUUUCUAAUUCUGCAAGAUAUUUUCACCCCUUUCUCUUUUGCUUUUCUUUUUAAAAUCCAAAUUAUUGGCCGCUUAUGGGAACGUGAAAUACAGGAUCAAUUAUAAUCUUGAUUAGCUGUCUUGUCAAUGCAUCAAAGCCGGCCAAAUUUUUUAAAAAAGAGAUACACAUCUUUAAUUUUAGUCCCAAAAUAAAAAGAAAAAAAUUAU